AAACAUAAUAUAAAUAUUCGGUCCUUUGAUUAGCAUAAAAAACUUGAAAAAUAAAUUGAUAAGACUAACAAUUUCAUAGACAUCUUGUCAGAAUAUGAUACAUUUAGUGUUAGUUUAGAAAAAAGCAGAAAGCAAUUUCAAUGCAAAAAUAAGAAUGUGUCAGCAAAUACUCCAGAUAGAACAGACAUAAUCAGUGAUCAAAGAGCAACAACUUGGGUGACUCCUUAUCUGAUUCUUCCAAUUAUAUGAAAGCCCUUGCCCAUAAUGGGAUGACAAAAAAAUCCAUUAAACUUUCUGAAUUCCUAAAUUAACUUAGCUUGGGUAGCUGACUUAAUUUAAUGAUAAACAAAGU
rnacentral:misc_RNA from 1 species